rnacentral:rRNA from 1 species
GGCAUUGCCCUAGUACGGCGAGUGAAGCGGCAACAGCUCAAAUUUGAAAUCUGGCUCUUUUAGGGUCCGAGUUGUAAUUUGCAGAGGGCGCUUUGGCUUUGGCAGCGGUCCAAGUUCCUUGGAACAGGACGUCACAGAGGGUGAGAAUCCCGUACGUGGUCGCUAGCUAUUGCCGUGUAAAGCCCCUUCGACGAGUCGAGUUGUUUGGGAAUGCAGCUCUAAAUGGGAGGUAAAUUUCUUCUAAAGCUAAAUACUGGCCAGAGACCGAUAGCGCACAAGUAGAGUGAUCGAAAGAUGAAAAGCACUUUGGAAAGAGAGUCAAACAGCACGUGAAAUUGUUGAAAGGGAAGCGCUUGCCGCCAGACUUGCUUGCAGUUGCUCACCCGGGCCCUUUUGCCCGGUGCACUCUUCUGCAGGCAGGCCAGCAUCAGUUUGGGCGGUGGGAUAAAGGUCUCUGUCACGUACCUCUCUUCGGGGAGGCCUUAUAGGGGAGACGACAUACCACCAGCCUGGACUGAGGUCCGCGCAUUUUUUGCUAGGAUGCUGGCGUAAUGGCUGUAAGCGGCCCGUCUUGAAACACGGACCAAGGAGUCUAACAUCUAUGCGAGUGUUUGGGUGUCAAGCCCGAACGCGUAAUGAAAGUGAACGGAGGUGGGAACCCGCAAGGGUGCACCAUCGACCGAUCCUGAUGUCUUCGGAAGGAUUUGAGUAAGAGCAUGGCUGUUGGGACCCGAAAGAUGGUGAACUAUGCUUGAAUAGGGUGAAGCCAGAGGAAACUCUGGUGGAGGCUCGCAGCGGUUCUGACGUGCAAAUCGAUCGUCAAAUUUGGGCAUAGGGCGAAAGACUAAU